rnacentral:tRNA from 5 species
GCCCGGGUAGCUCAAUCGGUAGAGCGUGUGGCUCUUAACCUCAAGGUCGCGGGUUCGAGCCCCGCCUCGGGCU